rnacentral:rRNA from 1 species
UAGGGAAUCUUGGACAAUGGGCGCAAGCCUGAUCCAGCCAUGCCGCGUGAGUGAUGAAGGUCUUCGGACUGUAAAACUCUUUUCUGAGGGAAGAACUGACGGCUGAGGAAAUGCUUCCGUUUUGACGGUACCUCAGGAAUAAGCAACGGCUAACUCCGUGCCAGCAGCCGCGGUAAUACGGAGGUUGCAAGCGUUGUUCGGAAUGACUGGGCGUAAAGGGAGCGCAGGCGGUUUGAUAAGUCUGGAGUGAAAGCCCGGGGCUCAACCCCGGCGGGUCUUUGGAUACUGUCAAACUUGAGUACGGAAGAGGAGAGUGGAAUUCCAGGUGUAGCGGUGAAAUGCGUAGAUAUCUGGAGGAACACCGGUGGCGAAAGCGGCUCUCUGGUCCGAUACUGACGCUCAUGCUCGAAAGCGUGGGGAGCAAACGGG